GACAGAGGAUGCAAACGUUGCUCGGAAUUACUGGGCGUAAAGCGCGUGUAGGCGGCUUGGUAAGUCGGACGUGAAAUCCCGGGGCUCAACCCCGGAAGGGCGCUCGAUACUGCCGAACUUGGGUCCUGAAGAGGAGAGCGGAAUUCCCGGUGUAGAGGUGAAAUUCGUAGAUAUUGGGAAGAACACCAGUGGCGAAGGCGGCUCACUGGCCCGUAACUGACGCUGAGGUGCGAAAGCGUGGGGAGCAAACAGG
rnacentral:rRNA from 1 species